rnacentral:rRNA from 1 species
GUGGGGAAUAUUGGACAAUGGGGGGAACCCUGAUCCAGCCAUGCCGCGUGUGUGAAGAAGGCCUUUUGGUUGUAAAGCACUUUAAGUGGGGAGGAGGCUUACCUGGUUAAUACCUAGGCUAAGUGGACGUUACCCACAGAAUAAGCACCGGCUAACUCUGUGCCAGCAGCCGCGGUAAUACAGAGGGUGCGAGCGUUAAUCGGAUUUACUGGGCGUAAAGCGCGCGUAGGUGGUUAAUUAAGUCAAAUGUGAAAUCCCCGAGCUUAACUUGGGAAUUGCAUUCGAUACUGGUUAGCUAGAGUAUGGGAGAGGAUGGUAGAAUUCCAGGUGUAGCGGUGAAAUGCGUAGAGAUCUGGAGGAAUACCGAUGGCGAAGUCAGCCAUCUGGCCUAAUACUGACACUGAGGUGCGAAAGCAUGGGGAGCAAACAGGAUUAGAAACCCGGGUAGUCC